UACGGAGGGUGCAAGCGUUAGUCGGAAUUACUGGGCGUAAAGGGUGCGUAGGCGGAUAUGUAAGUCAGACGUGAAAUUCCGGGGCUCAACUUCGGAGCUGCAUCUGAAACUGUGUAUCUAGAGGAAUGGCGGAGAAAACGGAAUUCCACAUGUAGCGGUGAAAUGCGUAGAUAUGUGGAAGAACACCUGUGGCGAAGGCGGUUUUCUAGCCUAAUCCUGACGCUGAGGCACGAAAGCAAGGGGAGCAAACAGG
rnacentral:rRNA from 1 species